rnacentral:rRNA from 1 species
CGGAGGGUGCAAGCGUUAUCCGGAUUCACUGGGUUUAAAGGGUGCGUAGGUGGGUCUGUAAGUCCGUGGUGAAAUCUCCGAGCUUAACUUGGAAACUGCCAUGGAUACUAUAGGUCUUGAAUACUGUGGAGGUCAGCGGAAUAUGUCAUGUAGCGGUGAAAUGCUUAGAUAUGACAUAGAACACCAAUUGCGAAGGCAGCUGGCUACACAAAUAUUGACACUGAGGCACGAAAGCGUGGGGAUCAAACAGGAUUAGAUACCCUGGUAGUCCACGCCCUAAACUAUGGAUACUCGACAUACGCGAUACACAGUGUGUGUCUGAGCGAAAGCAUUAAGUAUCCCACCUGGGAAGUACGAUCGCAAGAUUG